AGUGAACGCUGGCGGUAGGCCUAACACAUGCAAGUCGAACGGCAGCACAGUAAGAGCUUGCUCUUACGGGUGGCGAGUGGCGGACGGGUGAGGAAUACAUCGGAAUCUACUUUUUCGUGGGGGAUAACGUGGGGAAACUUACGCUAAUACCGCAUACGACCUACGGGUGAAAGCAGGGGAUCUUCGGACCUUGCGCGAUUGAAUGAGCCGAUGUCGGAUUAGCUAGUUGGCGGGGUAAAGGCCCACCAAGGCGACGAUCCGUAGCUGGUCUGAGAGGAUGAUCAGCCACACUGGAACUGAGACACGGUCCAGACUCCUACGGGAGGCAGCAGUGGGGAAUAUUGGACAAUGGGCGCAAGCCUGAUCCAGCCACACCGCGUGGGUGAAGAAGGCCUUCGGGUUGUAAAGCCCUUUUGUUGGGAAAGAAAAGCAGCAGGUUAAUACCCCGCCGUUCUGACGGUACCCAAAGAAUAAGCACCGGCUAACUUCGUG
rnacentral:rRNA from 1 species